CAAUAAGCGGAGGAAAAGAAACCAACAGGGAUUGCCCCAGUAACGGCGAGUGAAGCGGCAACAGCUCAGAUUUGGAAUCUGGCCCCCAGGGCCCGAGUUGUAAUCUGGAGAGGAUGCUUCUGGCGCGGCGCCUUCCGAGUUCCCUGGAACGGGACGCCGGAGAGGGUGAGAGCCCCGUACGGUCGGACGCCUAGCCUUUGUUGAAGCUCCUUCGACGAGUCGAGUAGUUUGGGAAUGCUGCUCAAAAUGGGAGGUAAAUUUCUUCUAAAGCUAAAUAUUGGCCAGAGACCGAUAGCGCACAAGUAGAGUGAUCGAAAGAUGAAAAGCACUUUGAAAAGAGGGUUAAACAGUACGUGAAAUUGUUGAAAGGGAAGCGCCCGUGGCCAGACUUGUGCCCUGCGGACCACCCGGCGCCCUCAGCGCCGGUGCACUCCGUGGGGCGCAGGCCAGCAUCGGUUUUUCCAGGGGGACAAAGGCGGCGGGAACGUGGCUCCCUCGGGAGUGUUAUAGCCCGCCGCGCCAUGCCCCUGGGGGGACCGAGG
rnacentral:rRNA from 1 species